rnacentral:rRNA from 1 species
UACGAAGGUCCCAAGCGUUAUCCGGAUUUAUUGGGUUUAAAGGGCGCGUAGGCGGCCCGGUAAGUCAAAGGUGAAAUCCCUCGGCUCAACUGAGGAACUGCCUUUGAAACUGUCGGGCUUGAGGCCGGGAGGGGGUAGCGGAAUUCCCAGUGUAGCGGUGAAAUGCGUAGAUACUGGGAGGAACACCAGUGGCGAAGGCGGCUACCUGGACCGGUUCUGACGCUGAUGCGCGAAAGCGUGGGUAGCAAACAGG